UCCUCCCUCUGGCGGCGUGCUUAACACAUGCAAGUCGAACGGAAAGGCCCUGCUUUUGUGGGGUGCUCGAGUGGCGAACGGGUGAGUAACACGUGAGUAACCUGCCCUUGACUUUGGGAUAACUUCAGGAAACUGGGGCUAAUACCGGAUAGGAGCUCCUGCUGCAUGGUGGGGGUUGGAAAGUUUCGGCGGUUGGGGAUGGACUCGCGGCUUAUCAGCUUGUUGGUGGGGUAGUGGCUUACCAAGGCUUUGACGGGUAGCCGGCCUGAGGGGGUGACCGGCCACAUUGGGACUGAGAUACGGCCCAGACUCCUACGGGAGGCAGCAGUGGGGAAUAUUGCACAAUGGGCGGAAGCCUGAUGCAGCAACGCCGCGUGCGGGAUGACGGCCUUCGGGUUGUAAACCGCUUUCGCCUGUGACGAAGCGUGAGUGACGGUAAUGGGUAAAGAAGCACCGGCUAACUACGUG
rnacentral:rRNA from 1 species